ensembl:lncRNA novel transcript
GGCAACCUGCUCGGGUCCCAUUCCACACUAUGGGAGCUUUGUUCCUUCACUCUUUGCAAUAAAUCUUGCUGCUGCUCACUCUUUGGGUCCACACUGCCUUUAUGAGCUGUAACACUCACUGCGAAGGUCUGCAGCUUCACCACGAACCCACCGGGAGGAACGAACAACUCCAGAUGCGCCGCCUUAGGAGCUGUAACACUCGCCGCGAAGGUCCGUGGCUUCACUCCUGAGCCAGCGAGACCACGAAGCCCACCAGAAGGAAGAAAUUCCGAACACAUCCGAACAUCAGAAGGAACAAACUCUGGACACGCCACCUUUAGGAACUGUAACACUCACCGCGAGGAUCCGCGGCUUCAUUCUUGAAGUCAGUGAGACCAAGAACCCACUAAUUCCGGACACACAGGGACAGCAAUCCACUGCUUGCCUUGAUGUACGAUUGAAGCCUAUCACCCCUUCUGCAGCAGUGGCUCCAGAGAGCAUCAGUAAAGAUGGCAAGAUUGAAAUCCAAGCAACAGAAUUUCCACUGAAUAGAAAUUUCUGAGGAAAGUGUAAGGACAGGUGUGAGAAUUCUGGUGGCAAGGAUGAGGAAGCAUCCCCCUUCCCAAACAGGAAAGAAGAGCCAAGAGACCUGAAAAGGAGCUGGAGCCAAGAAGGUGAAAAGGUGAGAGUUCCCAUUGCAAAUAACCUUCUCUCUGUAAAUAAAAAUGGAAAGGCACCUGCUGAAAGAUGGGAGACCAUGUGUGAAUUUGGGAAUCUGAGUAAUAAUAAAGCUGUUCCUAACAGUGACUGUGCAGUGCAGCACAAAGUUGCCAGGCUGCUAAAUUUGGGUUACAGAAAUUUGUGAAGAUGCCAAUUCAGGUUUUUUUGUUUUUAUUAAGAAGGAUACUAGCAAUUCUUAAAUCUGUCAGAUCAGAUUAUCUUAAAAUUUCUGAAGGCUUUUUUUCCACACAAACAAAUAAAUAUUUAUAAAAUGAACUAUAUGCUCAUACCCUUAGUGAAAAUAUAUGCACAUCAAUUUAUGACUUGUGUAAGUCAAUUACUAAUUCAAUUACUAAUGGGAAAUUGGAUGAACUCAGUAAAACUGUCUUAACUAUGUCUCUUGAGUUUCUUUUUCUAUUACAUGCUAAAUUACAAUAAAACCUUGACUACCUAAA